rnacentral:rRNA from 1 species
GUGGGGAAUAUUGGGCAAUGGGGGAAACCCUGACCCAGCGACGCCGCGUGAGGGAAGACGGCCUUCGGGUUGUAAACCUCUUUUGUACGGGAAGAAGGAAGUGACGGUACUGUACGAAUAAGUCCCGGCUAACUACGUGCCAGCAGCCGCGGUAAUACGUAGGGGACGAGCGUUGUCCGGAAUUACUGGGCGUAAAGGGCGCGCAGGCUGUGCUGCAAGUCAGCUGUGAAAUGUCUGGGCUUAACCCGGGCAUGCGGUUGAGACUGCAGUGCUGGAGUGCUGUGGAGGCAAGUGGAAUUCCCAGUGUAGCGGUGAAAUGCGUAGAUAUUGGGAAGAACACCGGUGGCGAAGGCGACUUGCUGGGCAGCAACUGACGCUGAGGCGCGAAAGCCAGGGGAGCAAACGGGAUUAGAUACCCUAGUAGUCC